UGAUGUGUGGGUGAGAGUCGAGUGAAGUGCGCAGAGCAUUCUGAAACUUGACGUCAACUUUUCCAAACAUAUAUACUGACUCACUACACACACCCAUUCAGUGCACAUCCUAAUACAGUUUCCUAGUAGACCACUGUCUCAAAUUUUGUAAAGAAUGUUACUAGAGUCUUCAACACGGGUUAUCCGCGGUGGUCGGGCGGUAGAGACAAUCUAUUGGUACUACACCAAGGACGGCUCAAAGAUAAGAUUGCACAAGCAUGGGAAGACGCUGGUGUACCGAAAACAACUUGUGCCCAAACAGCCCAGCAUAGCUGACCAAGCCUUCAGCAAGAUUAAAUGACAAUGAUGGUUUGGUGACCUUUGCCUUUAGAGAAGAGCUAUUUCGAGAUGUACGCGCAUUUACGAUCAGUUCUUUUUGAAUCUUAAGUGAUACUAGUUUGUUUUGAAAUUGCAAGUAUUGAUUUUUUCAGUUUCUAUGCAGCGUAAAAGUUAAUUAGGCUAGUGUAACUAUUUAAGUACUUAGCUAAAAGCUGAAAUCUCUUGUAGUAGUAACAUGUGACAAUUAAUUGUUAUUACCUUCUUACACAAUAAAAUUUAAUUUCCUUAGAGUUUUAAUACACUAUAAUGUUUUAAUAAAACGUAAUUUCCUUACAUAAAACUUAAUUUAUAUAAAAUAAUAUAUUAUUAUGAUUUAUGUAAAUAUUGUGCCUAUAUAAUUACUCUCAAUUGCUAGUUUUAAGUUGCCAUAAAAUAGGUCAUGAUUUGUAUAUAUAUUACAAGAUUUCUUUAAAAGUUCUUAUUAGUAUAAAAUUACUGAUAAUUAAUACAUAAAUCUACUACUUGAGAAAACCUUUGUUGAAAAAUAGCUUAGUUUUAUUUAAAACAAUUAUUAAAAAUACAAUAAAUUCAGCCCUACAUUCUGAGCUCAAAUAUCUCUAUAGCCAAGUGGAAAUAAUAACCGUAAUAUCGAAAGGUCCUUACCGUACUUUAUGUAACUUAAAUAUUUCAAUUUUACAUGUUAUUAAUACCAGUCAAUUGUUACAAAGUGAUUAAGACUUCUAAUUUUAAAAACAUAUAAUUUUAGCAUAUUGCACAAAUAGCAGCCAGAUUUUAUUCCUAAGUUGGUUCAUAGGGUAGUUGUUUUUCGUUUUGCUAACCUGAAACUUUGUUUUGGUAGAGGUAAAU